GACGAACGCUGGCGGCGUGCUUAACACAUGCAAGUCGAACGGAAAGGCCCUGCUUUUGUGGGGUGCUCGAGUGGCGAACGGGUGAGUAACACGGGUGUAACCUGCCCUUGACUUUGGGAUAACUUCAGGAAACUGGGGCUAAUACCGGAUAGGAGCUCCUGCUGCAUGGUGGGGGUUGGAAAGUUUCGGCGGUUGGGGAUGGACUCGCGGCUUAUCAGCUUGUUGGUGGGGUAGUGGCUUACCAAGGCUUUGACGGGUAGCCGGCCUGAGAGGGUGACCGGCCACAUUGGGACUGAGAUACGGCCCAGACUCCUACGGGAGGCAGCAGUGGGGAAUAUUGCACAAUGGGCGGAAGCCUGAUGCAGCAACGCCGCGUGCGGGAUGACGGCCUUCGGGUUGUAAACCGCUUUCGCCUGUGACGAAGCGUGAGUGACGGUAAUGGGUAAAGAAGCACCGGCUAACUACGUG
rnacentral:rRNA from 1 species